UCGAAUCCACCCUUGUCUUCCUCGUUUAUGUCUUGGAAAUCAUCAUGGUCGAGUUUAUACACUUGAUCGCCAUAAUUUUCAUCUUCAUCUAGAUCCUCUUGCUCCUUAAUAACCAAUGUUUUAUUUGUAUAGUUAUCUGCAACGUAACCAAAACCUUCAUAUCUAAAACAUUGAACCUUGGAACUCGUCUUAGGUAUACUUCAGCAAGAACAUGUUUGCCCUUGUCUAUUUUAGAAGGUUGGGCAGUACUGGGAUUGGGUCUUUAUGACAGGGCACCUAAUAAAGGACCACUAUUCCUCAAUCCCCCAAUCAAAAAGUAGCUAGUAAGGUUGUUUUCCGUCAUCUCCAUCCAUACACAUGUAAUCUAUGUCGCCGGUUUGGUGUACCCAUCAGAAUGCAUGCUUGACUGUAAGAGUGCGAGAAAAGAAACUCAAUCAAAAAGGCAAAGAGAGCUGAAAGCCUACUAUAAUCCCUACCAAGGCCAAGGGCUGUGGCCCAGUCCCUCUUGCCUGCCUUGGUUUGGUUCCCAAUUUUUGCUGACCCUUUUGUGCUAAUGAAUCCAAAAAGAAAUUGUUGAUUCUUUUUUCAAUCAAAAAAAUGGUUGAUCCUUCAUUCUUAUUUCUGAUGUAUACAGUCAACACAAAUGGCUUCCCAGCAAAUUACAGAAGAAGCUGUAUACACGUGCACUGGAAACCCAUUGCCCAAAGACAUUGAGAAUUUUUGAAAUCAAGACAAGGAAAGGUUUGGCCUUGGUGGAUAUCGUCAGAGAAGUGACCACUUGUUAUUCCAACAGGUUUGUUUUCCAGAUUAAGAUGAAAUCAGAUGUCCGAGUGCCAUUGAUCAAUGAUUUGGCUGAUAUAGAAUACAGGUUGGUCUUUGGGUGCAAUGAUAAGUUGCAUCUCGGAUCACUUAUCGCUUCUUUUGCAAGGGCUCGAUCUGCUUUGGUUGCAGCAGCAAGUUAGGUUUUAUGCAGCUUUUGAUUGCCCUGUGGCAUUUCUGCUGAGUUUGGCUUGAGACAUUGAAUCCUUGCAUGUACUAGCAAGUUAAAACGCCUGCCUGUUUGCAACUGAGCCUGUGUGAUUGUCAUAUUUCUUAGUGUAUGGUUCUUUUUAUUGCCCUUGCAUGUUAGCCACAAUGCCUGAUGUUUCCUUCUAUUCUCUCACCCUAAAGGGCAUAACAUGAAAGAUAGCCAAACUAAGAUGUCUGUGGACAUUCCGCUGUAAGCAAAUUCUUGGAAGAAACUGGCAAAUGAUUGUGUAAGUGGUGCCUCCUGUUCAAGGAGCAGAGAGCUCCUGGGACACUGCAACGCCUUCCUUACCAAGAACUCACAUGGAUUAAUUAUUAGAAAUAAAUAAUGUUUGAUUGAAUUCCAGAAUUUUAUAGGAUCCUCUUUCCAAAUUGUGGAGACUGUGUUUUAACCAUCCAGAAAUUGGCCCCACGUUUUUUGUAAUCUAUUCUCAUCAUUCUUUCUUGUAAAAUAAGUUCCCCCGCCCUCUCGCUUGUCAUUUGUUCCGUUUUGGACCAUGACAUUAAAGAAAAUGUAUUGAUCAUUCGAUUUUCCCCCCCUUUAAUCUUUCAUUUUCCACUUGAAAUAAAAUAAAAUUAGGGGCGGGCAUUGAUCGAGAUAUGGACAUUGCCAACUUUCCUUUUUCCCGAAAUGGCGACCCUGAUCUUCCAUUGCCACAAGGUCUACGACCUAAUCGAAGCUUUGGCUACUCCAGUCAACCGUGGAGACGCACGGCCAUUUUUUAGUUCUGUUUCUCCACAGAUGACCUGCUGUUUGGAUAGGUUAUUGAUGGAAGCAAACAGGCAAGCAUGUGCAUCAAUCAUCAUGACAUAAAAUUACAAGUCUGCUCCUUCUAGAUACAAACAAACAACACCCUUCAGUUUGUUUUGAUUUAUAUUUACCUCUUAUUUGUUAUUUGGAGAAUUUAUUACGAUAUUCAGAAGAAAAGCACUGUUCAAACCUGAUGAGAUCGGGGUUAGAGAGCGUAUUAAAGCAUCGCAGUCCCGUGUACGGCAACACAGACAGCAGCAGCACUAUAUCCAGAGAGCCAAGAAUCGAAUCUCAUGGUUUCCACAAUUCAUUCGCUAAAGGGGGGAAAUAAAGAUGAAAGGGUCAGUUAGUCUUUCCAAAAAUUCACAUAUCUCACCAGAAGGAACCAUUUCCACUGAAAAGCUUGAUUUAAUUAUUUUCUGCACGCUAUUUUUUCUAUCGUACGUUUUAAUUGCUGAUGCCUAUGAACUGGCCUGUACAACAACUUUUAAACGACUUAGAUAUUUUCCCUACACCAUGGGAACUACCCUUGACCCCCUUCUCACCUCU